GACGAACGCUGGCGGCGUGCCUAAUACAUGCAAGUCGAACGCAUUUUCUUUCACCGUAGCUUGCUACACCGAAAGAAAAUGAGUGGCGAACGGGUGAGUAACACGUGGGUAACCUGCCCAUCAGCGGGGGAUAACACUUGGAAACAGGUGCUAAUACCGCAUAAUUCCAUUUACUGCAUGGUAGAUGGAUGAAAGGCGCUUUUGCGUCACUGAUGGAUGGACCCGCGGUGCAUUAGCUAGUUGGUGGGGUAACGGCCUACCAAGGCUGCGAUGCAUAGCCGACCUGGGAGGGUGAUCGGCCACACGGGGACUGAGACACGGCCCAGACUCCUACGGGAGGCAGCAGUAGGGAAGCUUCGGCAAUGGACGCAAGUCUGACCGAGCAACGCCGCGUGAGUGAAGAAGGUUUUCGGAUCGUAAAACUCUGUUGUUAGAAAAGAACAAGGAUGAGAGUGGAAAGUUCAUCCCUUGACGGUAUCUAACCAGAAAGCCACGGCUAACUACGUG
rnacentral:rRNA from 1 species